AACAGAAUGAUCCCUUUUUUAAUUUAAAAGCCAACAAGAAUUUCAGGCUGUGGGACAACUGUACUCUUAUUUCCAACACUGUUCCUGAAUUGAUAAGGUUGACAGAUAGACCGGAAUGAAGCUGCAGUGGGUUUGGCUGAACACAGCCGCCGUCUAAGCUGCUUAUUCCCGAGCUACAGCUUAGUUUGUACCCAAGAGGAAAAAACGAAGAAAUGUUACAUUCCUUGUGGUUCAACAACUUGAAAAACAAGUAUUACAUGUAUUUUAAACUAGCUCACUCUGUGGAUGUCCUUGAACUUUGAUGUUUAUUGCCACUGACCAUGGGCUCUG